GGAUGUGAGGGCUAUCUGGCUGCAGCAUCUGUCACCCCAUUGAUCCUGCUGGCUAGGCGGGUGUCCCCUUCCUCCCUCACAGCUCCAUGUGCGUCCCUCCCGAAGCUGCACACUGGGUCCAAGAGAUGACCACCCCCGAUAGAGAGGGACAAAAGGGUAUCUGAGUAGUUGCACUCGCCUGCUGGAAUCUCCAAACAAGCUCUCAAAUUAAAAAAAUAAAAUAAAUAAGAGGUAGAUAGAUCCAGAAUGUCUGGCCCAUACCUAUAGUCCUAG
rnacentral:snRNA from 1 species